GGUAGCCUCUUAAAGACAGGGGCUAAUUUUGCUACCCUUACAACAGGAGCCACAAACUCCAGCAUAGAAGUUGUGAAGACACUGAAGGAGGUUUGAGUCUUCCAAGAAGAGCUGGACUUCAGGAAGCGAACUGCAGAAGGACAAUCUUCAAGAAAAGCAAAUGCCAGGAGACGGGAGUGCACUUGGAACAGAUGAGAACAGAUGAUAAAAGCUUCAUUAGAAUCUCUCUCAGCCAGAGAGAGACAUUGACAUUAUAGACUUUUUAGUAGAGUUGGAAAGUAAAAUGCACAGAAAUAUCACCUUGAUAGGAAGAAGUGCAUGCAGAAAGAAAGGCACAGAUAAAUUUCCCAAGAGGUCAAAAAAUAGAAGAACAAUUACUUCCAUUUGGGAGAAACUACCUGAAGCUUUACAGAAAAAAAUACAACCUGUGAACAGUACUCAGUAAAUCAUAAAGAUGGUGUACUUAAAAAAAAAAAGAAAGCUGGUAGUGUACAUUUGAAGCCUUAUCUCAGGGAAAAUAACAUGAUACACAAUUGUAUCGUGUUAUUUUACCUUCCCUUACCUUUUACCUGUAUCAUGUUAUUUUACCUUUAUUGAAUUAAAAGUAAUUAGAAUACCAUUCAGCAACAUUUCGCUCAAAUACCCCAUUGGAAAUUUAAAUAGGAUUAUAUUACAUUUAUAAAUUAACUUGGAGUGAAUGGAUAUCUUGCAAAUAUUUAGUCUCAGUCUACAGGCUUAUCCCACUGAAUGAACCCACUUUUCUCUAAUUUGACCAAGAAAAGUGUGUUGUGUUUGUGCUUUCUCACAUAUAUUCAUUUUCCAUGUUUCCAUCAUGCAAUUUAUUUUGUCUUGAUAAUUGUUUGGAUUUCUUGUCCUUAAAAUAUUAUUGGGGUUGGAGUAUAGGGAUAAGAUCAUAGAGUGACCCUGUACAAACAUAAUGCCUGCUUCUGUAGUUAUUGUAAUAAAGACUGUGUAGCCUCAAGACAGAAAAUGUAUUUUCCAGUGAUAUUCACUGUUAUUGUGUGUUUUCCUAACCCUUGUCACACUCAUCUUUCUACAUACCUUAUGCCUUCUAAAGUCUAAAAACAAAAAGU
rnacentral:lncRNA from 1 species